UUUGUCGACCCUAAAUAGUUGGGAUGAUGGUGAAGAAGGAGGUACACAUGAUGGCUUUGAUAUAGAAAAAAGCUUAAUUAUGGUUUGGACCGCGUGCAGUUUUAGCGAUGGUGGACUGCGUUUAGAUGUAUUAUGUCGAAGCUGUUGACGAAUAAAAAAAGAUUAAUGGAAAAAAUAUUUUAAUGUACUUAAUAUAUUUACGGUACAUACGCGGUGUUAAAAAAAAAUUGCUUUAGGGUGUUUGGGAUACCGGAACUACAGCGACCCCAUUACCCUCUGUGCAGUA